AGGACGAACGCUGGCGGCGCGCCUAACACAUGCAAGUCGAGCGAUAACCAGGGCUUGCCCUGGGGACAGCGGCGAACGGGUGCGUAACACGUGAGCAACCUGCCCCAAAGACCGGGACAACCCGAGGAAACUCGGACUAAUACCGGAUGCCCUCACCGGGCCGCAUGGUCUGGUGAGGAAAUGGAUUCCGCUUUGGGAUGGGCUCGCGGUCUAUCAGCUUGUUGGUGGGUAACGCCUACCAAGGCGACGACGGAUAGCUGGUCUGAGAGGACGAUCAGCCACACUGGGACUGAGACACGGCCCAGACUCCUACGGGAGGCAGCAGUGGGGAAUCUUGCGCAAUGGGGAAACCCUGACGCAGCGACGCCGCGUGCGGGAUGAAGGCCUUCGGUUGUAAACCGCUUUCAGCAGGGACGAAAUUGACGGUACCUGCAGAAGAAGGCCCGGCCAACUACGUGCCAGCAGCCGC
rnacentral:rRNA from 1 species